UCUAGAAAAUAAAUUGAUAUAUAAAAUAUUUACCUGAGUACUACGAAUUAAGAAAAAUUUAAAACUCAAAGAGUUUGGCGGUGCUUUAGACCACCUAGGGGAACUUGUCUCAUAAUCGAUAAUCCACGUUAUACCUUACUUUUUUUUGCAUUCAGUUUGUAUACCGUCGUCAUCAGGUAACUUUUAAGAUUAUAGAAGUUAGCUAGAAAGCCAAAUAAUCUUCUAUGUCAGAUCAAGGUGCAACCUACAAAAAAGAAGAGAUGAGUUACAAUUAUCAAUUUAUAUUGGAUAUAUAAAUGAAAUAAAAUAUUAAAAUAGGACUUAGAAGUAUAAUAACAAAUAUAUAAAUAAUUAGAAUUUGGCUCUGAAGCGUGCACAUAUCGCCCGUCGCUCUCGUCGAAAGAGGAGAUAAGUCGUAACAUAGUAGGGGUAAUGGAAAUUGCCCCUAAAUCAAU
rnacentral:rRNA from 1 species